rnacentral:rRNA from 1 species
UUUACUUUUAAGUGAAAAGGCUUAAAUAAGUUAGGGGGACGAUAAGACCCUAUAAAACUUUACAGAUAUGAUUAUAUUUAUUAAAAUGGAGUUUAAUAGUAUUUAUUAUUUUAUCUGUUGUGUUGGGGCGACAAAGAUAUAAUAGGGUAACUGUUAGUUUUAUUUAAUAGUGAUAAUUAGUUUAGUUGAUCCUUUAUUAGAGAUUAUAAGAAUAAGUUACUUUAGGGAUAACAGCGUAAUUUUCUUUAAGAGUUCGUAUCGACGAGAAUAGUUGCGACCUCGAUGUUGAAUUAAGAUUUCCUUUAGGCGGAGGAGUUUAAACGGUAGGUCUGUUCGACCUUUAAAAUCUUACGUGAUCUGAGUUCAGACC